GCGCGGGCCUGACGACUGCUGGCGCUCCGCUGCCGUCGGGGCACGUGGGCGGGUGGAUUGCAGCGGCAGCCGCCCCUCUCCCCUGGUGCUGCCGACACCCCGCGGGCUGCCACCUCGCGCAGCCCCGAGGGGGAGCUCCCGGGCGGCGGACCGAGCCCGGAGAAGGGAGCCCGCCGAGGGCAGGACGCCCGACCUGGGUGGGGCUGGUGGAGCGCGCGGGAAGCUGGCCGGUGGCCGCUACCAACCUUCGCGCGGGAGGCCAGUGGGGCGGUGACUGACCGACCCCGUUCAUACCCCGGCAUCUUGGUAUCUACAAUGGCAAGAACUAGUACUACAAAGGUCCUAUAGGUAAACCUGAGGCUCAUCAACUCAUCUAGACUGGCUGACCGAUGAGCUGAUCUACCUGUAUGUAUCCCCCACCCACAAGACCUAGAGUUACAGACAUGAUGCGCAAGUCUGUGGAGCUUUUCAUGUGGGUUCUGGGUCCUAAUGUUUGUUUUGCAGGCACCAAACAGACUGAGCUCCUUCCCAUCCCAAUAAAUUGACUUUAAAUUGGCAAAAGACUUGCAAAGAUACUUCACAAAAUAAUGAUGUU